GACGAACGCUGGCGGCGUGCUUAACACAUGCAAGUCGAGCGAUGAAGUUCCUUCGGGAAUGGAUUAGCGGCGGACGGGUGAGUAACACGUGGGUAACCUGCCUCAUAGAGGGGAAUAGCCUUUCGAAAGGACGAUUAAUACCGCAUAAGAUUGUAGUAUCGCAUGAUACAGCAAUUAAAGGGGUAAUCCGCUAUGAGAUGGACCCUCGUCGCAUUAGCUAGUUGGUGAGGUAACGGCUCACCAAGGCGACGAUGCGGAGCCGACCUGAGAGGGUGAUCGGGCACAUUGGGAGUGCGACACGGCCGAGACUCCUACGGGAGGCAGCAGUGGGGAAUAUUGCACAAUGGGGGAAACCCUGAUGCAGCAACGCCGCGUGAGUGAUGGCGGUCUUCGGAUUGUAAAACUCUGUCUUCAGGGACGAUAAUGACGGUACCUGAGGAGGAAGCCACGGCUAACUACGUGCCAGCCGCCGCAGUAA
rnacentral:rRNA from 1 species